CACCGGCGUCCUGAGUGGGAAUCACGUAUUAGGUCUAAAGCGCUCGUAGUCGGCUUUGUAAAUUUCUUGUGAAAUCGUGUCGCUUAACGGCACGGCGUGCAGGAAACACUGCAGAGCUUGGGACUGGGAGGUGUCAGAAGUAUUCCUUAGGGAGCGGUAAAAUGUGAUAAUCUAAGGAGGACUACCUGUGGCGAAGGCGUCUGACAAGAACAGGUUCGACGAUCAGGAGCGAAGGCUAGGGGAGCAAACCGG
rnacentral:rRNA from 1 species